rnacentral:tRNA from 1 species
ACCUGGCUGACUCAGUCAGUAGAGCAUGAAACUCUUGACUUCAGGGUUGUGGGUUCGAGCCCCAUGUUAGGUA